UACAGGGGGGGCAAGCGUUGUUCGGAAUUACUGGGCGUAAAGGGUUCGUAGGUGGCCACUUAAGUCAGACGUGAAAUCCCUCAGCUUAACUGGGGAACUGCGUCUGAUACUGAGUGGCUUGAGUGCAGGAAAGGAAUGCGGAAUUCCAGGUGUAGCGGUGAAAUGCGUAGAUAUCUGGAGGAACACCGGUGGCGAAGGCGGCAUUCUGGACUGUAACUGACACUGAGGAACGAAAGCCAGGGGAGCAAACGGG
rnacentral:rRNA from 1 species